CAGUCCCAGAGUAUAAACCUGCAGAGGCACUGGCAUUCUAUAGCCGUUGGCUUGCCGGGGAAAAGAUAUGAGAUCGAGAACCAUGAUGUUCCACUGAGCGUUCAAAAUAAGGAUAUAACUCCCUGAUUUAUUAAACAGAUGAUUUAAUAUAAACAUACAAGAAAGAUACACGACAGUAAUCUUAAGAGUCGAGCAAAAUUGGAUUUGGAACAUCAAAUUGAAGAAGCUUGAUAUACUGUAACGUUAUAAACUAUUAUGUGGAAUAGAUAAAUUAUUUCUCUGCUAGUGUAAUACAAUGUGCAACUCAUUUGAAGAGUACAUGUGCAAUAAUAGACGUGUAUAUGUCUAUGAUGGACUCCGGGUUCCUCACAUAUAAAUGUCACACGAAUGUUAGAACAUACUCCAGAUUUUGAUUGCUGUAGGCCUGUAGCUGAUAUGAAUAACUGGGGUUUAUAUUAUAAAUUAUUUUUAUCGCCGAUUAAUAUAGGUUCUUUAAGAGGUUUUUUCGAGAUAAAUCAUAUUUUUUAUUUUUAUUACCAAUGAUUAAAUAUUUAAUAAUUGUAAGAAAACAUAUACCAGUAUGUUUUUAUUGCAUGAAAUAAAUUAUGCGAAAACGAAAAUUUUAGCAAAAACAAGAAAAAGGAAUAGUCGGGCCACAUAUUAAUUGCUUUAUGGGCCAAGCCAAGGCCCAAUAGGCUUCAGCAUUAAAAACCCUAACCUGGCUGGAUGGAGCCUGUAUAUAUAUACGUCUCUCUAUGUAUCAGCAGCUUGCGUCGUUGCCGUCAACACUUCCCUUGAGAACCUCCUAAGCUUGUAUGUUGUAUCUAUCUAUUAUAUUCUGUAUCUAUUUCUCAUUCAGCGGCAGCAAGUCAGCUUCUUGACUGGAAUUCGGCUAAGAGCCCACGGUUCAGUCAAUUAUUGUAGAUUCUACAACUUGCGAGAAGAAUAACAGAUUUGUUAGUUAGUAUCACUCGCCUGAAUAUGAUCUGCAUCUGAUUAUUCAGGCCCUUAUUAUACUUUCACACCUUAAAACGCUUUUUUCUUUAUCUGAAUGGUUAAGCAAGUCAGCUUCUUGACUGAAUCUCGAUUCAUAGACUACGGUUCAGUCAAUUAUUGUACUUGUACAGCUUGCGAUAACGAUAUAAUCUAGUCAGUAUCACUCGCCUGAAUAUGAUUUUUUGCUGAUUAUUCAGGCCCUUAUUAUACUGUCACAAAUUCUAUUUUGUGUAAAAUAAUUGAUUUGGAUUGUGUGACUGCAAACUCACUCUGUCCCAUAACAAAUCAUGUUGUGAGGCAAUUUCUUGGUUUGCUAUAUUGAUUUUUAUCAAUCCGAUUUGACUCGUCUAAGUGAUCUUCUCUCGGUGAUCAUGUAAGACACAUAAUUGGAUUACAUUUCAGUGUUUAAUCGUUUAAAUCUCGUUAUGAAAUUGUUUUUAUCAACUUUGUAAAUGUUUUUAAAAAAAAUUCAAUCUCUCUAAUUUCGUUUCGUGAUCAAUUUGAUUGGUAUUCAUGACAUCUGAAGUUGAAAUUGAAACAGUAAUUGUUAUCUGAGAUAUUUGUUUCUAACAAAGAACUGAUAGUUUCGAGAACCAAGCUCACUGGGAUAUUCCGAAAAAACGAUCAAGUGCUUUGUCUAACACUCCAACAAGAGACCUAGGUUGUGCCUUGAGAAAUGAGAAGGGAUAAGACUUAAGAGUCGGAGGAAGUUUGUUCAGGACAAAACAGGAAAGAAAUACUUCCUCCAUCCCCCUGAGUUGCCUGAGUUGUAUACAUUGGGGGACGGGGACGCGGCACAGAUUUUAGUGCUACUGUUUUUUAAAUUUUUUUUUUUUUUUGAAUUGAAGUUUGGAUAUUAUAAUUUUAUAAAAAAAAAAAUCUCAAAAAUAAGUUACGGAAUUAUAUUUUAUAAGAGCAUUGAAAUGCGUCGAGCAGUAAAAAAAACGUAUAGAAUUAAAUGGGACAGAGGGAGUAUAAUUUUAUGCAGUGUUGUAAAAAGCGGGAAUCGGACUUAGUCGGUGAAAGCACCGUCUAGCGAUUAAUCGGAUAAUCGGAGAUUAAUCGGAGUGAUUAAUCGGAUCAUUAAUCGUAAUCAAUUUAAUAUUAUUUUUUAAAUAAUAUAUAUUAAUAUAAUUAUAUAUAGUAUAAAUUUAUAGUCAUAUAAAAUCAAAAGAUUAAUGAUUUUUUAUAAAACAAAACAUGCCUUUAUAUACAUAUACAAGUCCAGUUAUCUCAUAUAUAAACUUGAAUUUGAUUGAAUCUGCGAAGGAAGAUAUUGCAAAUUUAUGUAAUUAGAGUUUAAAGUUAAUAUUGAAAGAGUGAAAGGUAAUAAAACAACUUUAAUUUAUGCAUUUCCGUGCCUUUUGUUUUAUUUAAAAUUAAAUUUUAGAAUUUUAAGAUUUUUUUACUUUUUAUUUUUAAUUUUUUUAAAUUCAUCGAUUUUUGACCGACUUUUUUCCGAUUAAUUCCGACUUUUGACCGAUUAAUCCCGAUUUUCAGAAAAAACGAUUUUUUCACCGAUUAACGCUUAAUCGAGACGGUGGCCGACCGAACAACGAUUAAUCGGCGAUUAAUCGGUGAUUAAUCCCGAUUAAUCGCCGACUUUUAGAACACUGAUUUUAUGUGAUUAAACUAAUAAUUUAAAAAGGAAAAAAAAUAAUAAUUUUACUAUAAAAGACUUCAUAAAAAUGUUAAAAGAAUCGAGUGAGGUAUGUUUAGAACAGUUUUUAGUUUAGUUUUACAUCUCCGGAUAGUAAUAGUAGAAGGGUUUUUCUAAUGUGUGUUCAAAGGACACAUAAUAAAAUACUAAAUUUGAUUAGUUUUGUAAAUUUUUAUUGGUGUAAUUGCAUGAUGUUUCAUUCAUAUCUAUGAUUAGAUGAUUAAUAAAAAUGCACCGAAUUCGUAGGAUUAUUACUUGUUGUAUGCCCAUAAGCAUAUCAUAAAAAAAUCGAUAAUAGAAAUGACUUAUGUUUUAAAUAUUUUUUUGAGUAUUUUGGUUUUCAUAUGCGCAAGAAUACAACAAGCACAAAAUUAGAUAAAUUGGUCUUAUUUUAAUUUGAUUUACACUCUUAACAAUGAUGGACCUUUCUAUCUACAACAAUCACACUAAUUAAAAUAUAAAAUAGUUCAAACAAAUUGAAUAUAAUUAUAUAUAACAUCUCAAGCCAAUGGCUAAAUGCAUACCGGAUCUAACAAUCCCAUCACGGGUCGGCUAAAAAAGGCUAGCAAAUUAGUAUACAUUAAUGAUUUGCUUGUGCUUAUAAAAACUCAAAUACUUUGUUGUCUAAUUAAUGUCGGAUGUUACAAACACCCCUCUUAUAGAUUCGACGUCCUCGUCGAAUUCACUAAUACUUUACGAAACGAAACAUGGGCAGUGUCUCUGCACUUCCGGGUCAAUGAGAGCUCUGAUACCAUUUAUAACAUCCAAGUUCACGAUUAGAUACAUACCGAAUCCAACAACUCAUCACAAGUCGGUUCAAAAGUGCUAGCAAAUUGGUAUACAUUAAUUAUUUAUUUGUGCUUAUAAAACCCCAA
rnacentral:lncRNA from 1 species